UCGUUACGAUGUCACUAACAUCCUGUAUAGCUAACUUAGGUCUCUUUUCCUUAGUAGUGGUAAAUUGGACCACCCUAUGUAAACUGCUAUAAUAUCCAGAGUUAAGAGUCGAAUCGGCGUGAAUACAUUCAAAUGGAUUGGCCGCUUGCGCAGACACUGCCACCUACCUGCAAUGGACCAGUGUGGUGGUAUAGCUUACGCUCGCAGGGGGUUAAUUGAUGGCACCCAAAGCAUGAAUUAAGUUGUUAAGGUAUAUCACAGAUAUAAAAAGAAAAAUAAAAAAUAAAUCAAUCAAUGAAAUUAAUUACACUUUCAAGAACAACAUAAUCAUACCUUGAUCUGCUGGUUUGCCGAGCCCAGGGGUGCAUUACUCAACACAACUCGUAGAGCAUCAAUAUAUCUGCCUUUGUGAAUGAGUUAAGGAAACUAAAAUUUUCCUCUCAAUAUGAAGGAAACAUAAAGGCAGUAUGGAACAUUGAAGUGUUUUCUAACUUUCCAAAUUCCAGAACCACCUUUAA